UACAGAGGUCUCAAGCGUUGUUCGGAUUCAUUGGGCGUAAAGGGUGUGUAGGUGGCGCUGUAAGUCGGGUGUGAAAUCCCUCGGCUUAACCGGGGAACUGCGUCUGAUACUGGAUGGCUUGAGUUCGGGAGAGGGAUGCGGAAUUCCAGGUGUAGCGGUGAAAUGCGUAGAUAUCUGGAGGAACACCGGUGGCGAAGGCGGCAUCCUGGACCGACACUGACACUGAGGAGCGAAAGCCAGGGGAGCAAACGGG
rnacentral:rRNA from 1 species